UACAGAGGUCUCAAGCGUUGUUCGGAUUCAUUGGGCGUAAAGGGUGCGUAGGCGGCGCGGUAAGUCGGGUGUGAAAUCUCGGAGCUUAACUCCGAAACUGCAUUCGAUACUGCCGUGCUUGAGGACUGGAGAGGAGACUGGAAUUUACGGUGUAGCGGUGAAAUGCGUAGAUAUCGUAAGGAACACCGGUGGCGAAGGCGGCGCUCUGGACCGAGACUGACGCUGAGGCGCGAAAAACGUGGGGGAGCAAACAGG
rnacentral:rRNA from 1 species